rnacentral:rRNA from 1 species
UGAGGAAUAUUGGUCAAUGGACGCAAGUCUGAACCAGCCAAGCAGCGUGCAGGAUGACGGCCCUAUGGGUUGUAAACUGCUUUUAUAUGGGGAUAAAGUGGGGAACGUGUUCCCUUUUGCAGGUACCAUAUGAAUAAGGACCGGCUAAUUCCGUGCCAGCAGCCGCGGUAAUACGGAAGGUUCGGGCGUUAUCCGGUUUUAUUGGGUUUAAAGGGAGCGUAGGCCGUUUGGUAAGCGUGUUGUGAAAUGUAGGAGCUCAACUUCUAGAUUGCAGCGCGAACUGUCAGACUUGAGUGCGCACAACGUAGGCGGAAUUCAUGGUGUAGCGGUGAAAUGCUUAGAUAUCAUGGAGAAGUCCGAUUGCGAAGGCAGCUUACGGGAGCGCAACUGACGCUGAAGCUCGAAGGUGCGGGUAUCGAACAGG